rnacentral:rRNA from 1 species
UGGUAGGAGAGAAGAGAUUAAUCGACUCUGCAGUAAUAGCAGAGAGCCUGCACAGGUGCUGCAUGGCUGUCGUCAGCUCGUGUCGUGAGAUGUUGGGUUAAGGUCCCGCAACGAGCGCAACCCCUACUUGCCAGUUGCUAACAGGAGAGCUGAGCACUCUGGCGAGACUGCCGCCGACAAGGCGGAGGAAGGUGGGGAUGACGUCAAGUCAUCAUGGCCUUUAUGCCCAGGGCUACACACGUGCUACAAUGGCCGGCACAGACGGCAGCUUAGUGGCGACACUUGGCAAAUCCUCUAAAGCCGGUCCCAGUUCGGAUUGCAGUCUGCAACUCGACUGCAUGAAGCCGGAAUCGCUAGUAAUCGCGGAUCAGAACGCCGCGGUGAAUACGUUCUCGGGGUUU